CAGCGCCACAAGUGGCAAUCAGUAUUACUGGGCCUAAAGCGUCCGUAGCCGGACAAGUGCAUCCUUUGUGAAAUCGCCAGGCUUAACUUGGCGGCAUGCAGAGGACACGGCUUGUCUUGGGAGUGGGAGAGCUCAGAGGUACUUGAGGGGGACCGGUAAAAUGGUAUAAUCCCUCAAGGACCACCGAUGGCGAAGGCAUCUGAGUAGAACACGUCCGACGGUGAGGGACGAAAGCCAGGGGAGCGAACCGGAUUAGAUACCCGAGUAGUCC
rnacentral:rRNA from 1 species